UACGUAGGGGUGCAAGCGUUGUCCGGAAUUUAUUGGGCGUAAAGAGCUCGUAGGCGGCUCGUCGCGUCUGCUGUGAAAGCCCGGGGCUUAACCCCGGGUCUGCAGUGGGUACGGGCGGGCUAGAGUGCGGUAGGGGAGACUGGAAUUCCUGGUGUAGCGGUGAAAUGCGCAGAUAUCAGGAGGAACACCGGUGGCGAAGGCGGGUCUCUGGGCCGUAACUGACGCUGAGGAGCGAAAGCAUGGGUAGCGAACAGG
rnacentral:rRNA from 1 species